rnacentral:rRNA from 1 species
UACGAAGGGGGCUAGCGUUGCUCGGAAUCACUGGGCGUAAAGGGUGCGUAGGCGGGUCUUUUAAGUCAGGGGUGAAAUCCUGGAGCUCAACUCCAGAACUGCCUUUGAUACUGAGAUCUUGAGUUCGGGAGAGGUGAGUGGAACUGCGAGUGUAGAGGUGAAAUUCGUAGAUAUUGCAAGAACACCAGUGGCGAAGGCGGCUCACUGGCC